UUGUAUAGCUUCUUUUGAUAUACAAAUUUCCAAUAAACCAAUAAAUUAAAUGAAAUCUCAAAAAGUCCCACCACGAUUCGAUAUAUUAUUCAUAAAA